UACGUAGGGGGCAAGCGUUGUCCGGAAUUACUGGGCAUAAAGCGCACGCAGGCGGAAUUGUAAGUCCGUUGUAAAAUUCAGAGGCUCAACCUCUGUCUGUCGGCGGAUACUGCAAAUCUAGAGUAUGUGAGAGGGAAGUGGAAUUCCUGGUGUAGCGGUGAAAUGCGUAGAUAUCAGGAGGAACUCCGGUGGCGAAGGCGACUUCCUGGCACAAGACUGACGCUCAUGUGCGAAAGCUAGGGUAGCGAACGGGAUUAGA
rnacentral:rRNA from 1 species